rnacentral:SRP_RNA from 1 species
UCGUGCUAGGUGGGGCGCUAGGGGUGCCCUGAACCCGAAAUCCUCUACAAGCGGGACCGAAUUCCCCGCCCGAGGGGCAGCGUGACGCCGGCCUGAGGGUGGAUACGUGGUGUUGACGGUUGGGUCCUGCGCGGCGGAGCACCGCGAACCGGGUCAGAUCCGGAAGGAAGCAGCCCUAAGUGGAUCGUUCCGGGUGACGCAGGGCAGCCUGACCUGAGCCGGCGGCCAUCACCACCGGCGGCCAUGUUGCCUCGACGGCGGGGGCACGA